GAUGAACGCUGGCGGCGUGCCUAAUACAUGCAAGUCGAGCGAACAGAUAAGGAGCUUGCUCCUUUGACGUUAGCGGCGGACGGGUGAGUAACACGUGGGUAACCUACCUAUAAGACUGGGAUAACUUCGGGAAACCGGAGCUAAUACCGGAUAAUAUUUCGAACCGCAUGGUUCGAUAGUGAAAGAUGGUUUUGCUAUCACUUAUAGAUGGACCCGCGCCGUAUUAGCUAGUUGGUAAGGUAACGGCUUACCAAGGCGACGAUACGUAGCCGACCUGAGAGGGUGAUCGGCCACACUGGAACUGAGACACGGUCCAGACUCCUACGGGAGGCAGCAGUAGGGAAUCUUCCGCAAUGGGCGAAAGCCUGACGGAGCAACGCCGCGUGAGUGAUGAAGGUCUUCGGAUCGUAAAACUCUGUUAUUAGGGAAGAACAUACGUGUAAGUAACUGUGCACGUCUUGACGGUACCUAAUCAGAAAGCCACGGCUAACUACGUGCCAGCAGCCGCGGUAAUACGUAGGUGGCAAGCGUUAUCCGGAAUUAUUGGGCGUAAAGCGCGCGUAGGCGGUUUUUUAAGUCUGAUGUGAAAGCCCACGGCUCAACCGUGGAGGGUCAUUGGAAACUGGAAAACUUGAGUGCAGAAGAGGAAAGUGGAAUUCCAUGUGUAGCGGUGAAAUGCGCAGAGAUAUGGAGGAACACCAGUGGCGAAGGCGACUUUCUGGUCUGUAACUGACGCUGAUGUGCGAAAGCGUGGGGAUCAAACAGGAUUAGAUACCCUGGUAGUCCACGCCGUAAACGAUGAGUGCUAAGUGUUAGGGGGUUUCCGCCCCUUAGUGCUGCAGCUAACGCAUUAAGCACUCCGCCUGGGGAGUACGACCGCAAGGUUGAAACUCAAAGGAAUUGACGGGGACCCGCACAAGCGGUGGAGCAUGUGGUUUAAUCCGAAGCAACGCGAAGAACCUUACCAAAUCUUGACAUCCUUUGACAACUCUAGAGAUAGAGCUUUCCCCUUCGGGGGACAAAGUGACAGGUGGUGCAUGGUUGUCGUCAGCUCGUGUCGUGAGAUGUUGGGUUAAGUCCCGCAACGAGCGCAACCCUUAAGCUUAGUUGCCAUCAUUAAGUUGGGCACUCUAAGUUGACUGCCGGUGACAAAUCGGAGGAAGGUGGGGAUGACGUCAAAUCAUCAUGCCCCUUAUGAUUUGGGCUACACACGUGCUACAAUGGACAAUACAAAGGGCAGCGAAACCGCGAGGUCAAGCAAAUCCCAUAAAGUUGUUCUCAGUUCGGAUUGUAGUCUGCAACUCGACUACAUGAAGCUGGAAUCGCUAGUAAUCGUAGAUCAGCAUGCUACGGUGAAUACGUUCCCGGGUCU
rnacentral:rRNA from 1 species